UACGUAGGGUGCGAGCGUUGUCCGGAAUUAUUGGGCGUAGAGAGCUCGUAGGCGGUGUGUCACGUCGUUCGUGAAAACCUGCAGCUUAACUGUGGGCGUGCGGUCGAUACGGGCAUCACUGGAGUUCGGCAGGGGAGACUGGAAUUCCUGGUGUAGCGGUGAAAUGCGCAGAUAUCAGGAGGAACACCGGUGGCGAAGGCGGCUUCCUGGACCGACACUGACGCUGAGGCGCGAAAGCUAGGGGAGCAAACGGG
rnacentral:rRNA from 1 species